rnacentral:rRNA from 1 species
GCAUAAUAAAUAGUUUUUUAAUUGAAAACUGGUAUGAAGGGUUAAUACUAAAGAGAAGGUUUUAUUUAAUGAGUUUGAAUUUAAAUUAAAAGUAAAAAUGCUUUUAUUAAUCUUUGGGACGAGAAGACCCUAGAAGCUUGAAAUUAUGAAUAAUUUUUGAUUGGGGUAAUAUUUGAAGAUAGUGAUUUUUGGAAGUUUUAAAGUUUAGAAAAAAGUUACUCUAGGGAUAACAGCAUUAUUUAGUUAAAGAGUUCUUAUUAAUAAUUAAGUUUGUGACCUCGAUGUUGAAUUAAUU